GAUGAACGCUGGCGGCGUGCCUAAUACAUGCAAGUCGAGCGAACAGACGAGGAGCUUGCUCCUCUGACGUUAGCGGCGGACGGGUGAGUAACACGUGGAUAACCUACCUAUAAGACUGGGAUAACUUCGGGAAACCGGAGCUAAUACCGGAUAAUAUAUUGAACCGCAUGGUUCAAUAGUGAAAGACGGUGUUGCUGUCACGUAUAGAUGGAUCCGCGCCGCAUUAGCUAGUUGGUAAGGUAACGGCUUACCAAGGCGACGAUGCGUAGCCGACCUGAGAGGGUGAUCGGCCACACUGGAACUGAGACACGGUCCAGACUCCUACGGGAGGCAGCAGUAGGGAAUCUUCCGCAAUGGGCGAAAGCCUGACGGAGCAACGCCGCGUGAGUGAUGAAGGUCUUCGGAUCGUAAAACUCUGUUAUUAGGGAAGAACAAAUGUGUAAGUAACUAUGCACGUCUUGACGGUACCUAAUCAGAAAGCCACGGCUAACUACGUG
rnacentral:rRNA from 1 species